CGGGAUAAAAUUCAAGAGGGGAGCAUUUCAACAGAACAUGUGACAGCAAAUCUCAAGUGACAGAUAUCCUUACCAAGAGCUUAGCCUCUCAAAACUUCUAUUGAUGUAUGUUCAAGACGAGAGUAAUGGACAUCUACUGUCCAUUUUACGGGGGCUAUUGAGGAAUGAAGGUGAAGCUGUUCAGCUGGACAAAAGAGAAGCUGAGCUUGAUAGAAAACAAGUGGAAUUAGAGAAGAGUACACAUCAAUAUACAUAUAGUCAGCUUCCCUUGACAGAACAGCAAGUUAAGAAUUCUCUAGAAUAGAGGCAACUUGGUAUUCUAGAAGAAGGAUGGAAGAAAUAUUGGUUGCAAAGUUGG
rnacentral:lncRNA from 1 species